GAUGAACGCUGGCGGCGUGCCUAAUACAUGCAAGUCGAGCGAACGGACGAGAAGCUUGCUUCGCUGAUGUUAGCGGCGGACGGGUGAGUAACACGUGUAUAACCUACCUAUAAGACUGGGAUAACUUCGGGAAACCGGAGCUAAUCCCGGAUAAUAUUUUGAACCGCAUGGUUCAAAAGUGAAAGACGGUCUUGCUGUCACUUAUAGAUGGAUCCGCGCUGCAUUAGCUAGUUGGUAAGGUAACGGCUUACCAAGGCAACGAUGCAUAGCCGACCUGAGAGGGUGAUCGGCCACACGAGAACUGAGACACGGUCCAGACUCCUACGGGAGGCAGCAGUAGGGAAUCUUCCGCAAUGGGCGAAAGCCUGACGGAGCAACGCCGCGUGAGUGAUGACGGUCUUCGGAGCGUAAAACUCUGUUAUUAGGGAAGAACAUAUGUGUAAGUAACUGUGCACAGCUUGACGGUAACUAAUCAGAAAGCCACGGCUAACUACGUG
rnacentral:rRNA from 1 species